rnacentral:rRNA from 1 species
GCUGGUUUUCUGCGAAACUUGUUUUAGCAAUCUGUUUACACUCCCCAUCUUAGUCGGUAUAGCACUGAAUCUCUCUGUGGGUGUUCUUCGAUCCUCCCUACGAAUUUUUAAUCUCAAAAUGACUAAUCUUUCUGUGUAAAUUGUCAGACUGUCGGCGAGAAGGUUGAUAGUCAAAAGGGAAACAGCCCAGAACAGUGAUUAAAGCUCCCCAAUUAAUAUUAAGUGAGAAUUCCCA